ensembl:lncRNA
GGAGAAAUACCAAGGGCUCAGAGAAGAGCUCGAGAGGAUGUGGAGGGUGAAGGUAACGGUGGUCCCCGUGGUAAUCGGAGCACUAGAUGCGGUGACUCCCAAGCUAGGCGAGUGGCUCCAGCAGAUCCCGGGAACAUCAUCGGAGAUCUCUGUCCAGAAGAGCGCAGUCCUGGGAACAGCUAAGAUACUGCGCAGGACCCUCAAGCUCGCAGGCCUCUGGUAGAGGACCCAAGCUUGAAGGAUAAACCGCCCGCAGGGGCGUGCUGGGUGUUUUUUUUUUAUUUAUAUAUAUAUAUAUGUCUCCUUCUGGAAACAAAGUGAGGAUCAUAUUAUUCAUAUUAUAUUCUCUAUCUUCGCUGACCCAGUGUUUUAAGUUUAUUGUUAUUAUUUUCUUGUUUCUUCCAUUUUGUAUUAGUUCUUAGGGUUUGAGUCUUGUGUUUAUUUUUUCUGUUAUUUGUGUCUCUGAAUUUGUGUUUGUAAAACAGCCUGUGCAUUUCAUGUUUUACUUUGUAGGUCUGUGUCUCGUUAUGCCCAUUAGUUCCAGCUGUGUCCACCCCUGCGUGUCAUUUCCCCAUUACAUGGUUUGUAUUUAUAGUGUGUGUUUGCCUUUGUUCAUCGUCGCACCUUUUGUGUAAUUUGGUAUCUCUGUGUCUCUCUGCUCUUCUUUCUCCAUGUCUUCCCUGCGUGAUUCCCCGUGUCCUUAUGUUUUUCAGGUUUUUUUAUUAGUUUUCCCAGUAGAGGCUUUAGUUGCUCCCUGUUCCUUAUUUCCUGUCUUGCACUUUGCUGUCACUACAAAUAAACGCUCACUCGGACCCCAACCAGUACCUGCAGUUUGGAUCCUUUUCUCACAUCACCACACAACUGCUGCCCCAGCCAUGACAAUCAAUAACCUUUUUUAACUUCUUAAUGUAAUUUUUUUUUUUACUUUUAUUUUUACUUUUAUAAGUAAAAUGCUCUACUGAGUCAAGUCUGCUACCGGUAACUGAUCCUUCAUCAUGGGCACGAUAGGUGCAGCAGUGCUCCAGGGGGCCGUUUGCACAGGUCCCGGGUCUGCUUUUCUUUGCCCUGCAGUGAAGUGGGGGAAAUAAGUGUGCUUACUGGGGGAAAUAAGCAAGAAGUCCUGGCUCUCUCCUUCCAGGGAUAAUCUUUUACCUCCCAGUCUCACAUAUCCCAUGCCUUCUACUCCCUCAUGCUUCAUCUGACAACAUGUCACUCACACACAAAAGGGCUUGGAGGAACUAUACACCGCAAAGGCCCCAGUCAGUGGAGCCAUUUACAUGGCUUUGCUGGAUGUUCUGUGUGGCCAUCCAUCCUUCCUUUUUAUUUAUACUGUCACAUCUAUACAUUAUAUCUCACCUCCUUUUUUUGUAUCUCAAAAUUUAAGAUUUAGCUCCAUUUAUUAAUAUUGCAUUAGUCCAAUGGUGAGUCAGUGCACUGGAAUUUCAUUCUAAUGCACACUAACUGAUGUGUCUUCUAAAUAACAAUAAAGUAGCUAUUCUAUUCUCUUCAAUUUUACACAUACACACACACACAUACACACUCAUUUACAUAACAGAGUGGAAGAGAGUACAAUCUCUAAAGAGGGC